rnacentral:rRNA from 1 species
UACAGAGGGUGCGAGCGUUAAUCGGAAUUACUGGGCGUAAAGCGUGCGUAGACGGUUAUUUAAGUCGGAUGUGAAAGCCCCGGGCUCAACCUGGGAAUUGCAUUCGAGACUGAAUAGCUAGGGUGCGGUAGAGGGAAGCGGAAUUUCCGGUGUAGCGGUGAAAUGCGUAGAUAUCGGAAGGAACAUCAGUGGCGAAGGCGGAUCUCUGGGCCAUUACUGACGCUGAGGAGCGAAAGCGUGGGGAGCGAACAGG